AGGAUCUGAUGGUAUGAAUGGCCGCCAAGAUCAAUAAUACCAGGAGAACUGCUGCCAUCCACAUCCACAGACGCAGGUUUGAAUCAAUGGGAACUUCGGAAAUCAUUGCAGACCACUAACAUCAUUGGUGUGACAGACUUCUGAUCACAAGGUGGUCCAAGGAGGAAAGAAAGAAAUUAACAGACAAAAUUCAGAUGAGAACCAGUCUUUUCCUCCUGGAGUCCAGAGAGUUACACAGGUACCCGUGGUUGAAUGCGGCCAGAAGCCGAAGCCGAAGCCAAAGAAUGCGGCCAGGAUCAUCCGAAGCAGGUGAUCCUCCUUCGGAUGCAUCAUUGAGUCAACAGCAGCCUAACCGUACAUCGCAUGCCUGUGUCACUCACCUUACUUCUUAUCACGGGGACAUUCCGUCACCCACACCAUCACCACAAGAAGAAGGGUGAGCUCAGUACAAGAAGAUAUUUUGAGAGAGGGAGACUGAGAGCGCAUUCCCGUUACUUUUAUUAUAAUAUAUUGUUAUAAGUAUUCUAUUCUUUAUUAGUUACUGCUGCUAAUCUCUCCCUGUGCCUAAUGUAUAAGCGUCACUUUGUCACAGGUGGGUAUGCAUAGGUACAAAUAAAGCAUAUGUUUGGUACUAUGUGUGAUUCAGGCACCUGCUGGGAGUCUUGGAAUGGUCCCUGCAGGUGAAGGGGCCUCUUGCUAAUGGUGAAGUCUCUUCUAAAGAGAAAUCUCAGACUAUUAGAUCAAUAUUUUAUUCUAAUGCUGAUCAACCGUCUCUAUAAAUGUCAUCUCUCCCCCACCUUCCAAAUAAAACAAGAUAAUGUUUUCCUACAAAAGAAUUGAGAAUAGGCCUGCCUAUUUUUGC